rnacentral:tRNA from 1 species
UAAGGGUUAGUUAAUAUAUAACAUAAGGUUGUCAAUCUUAAAUUAAAAGUAUUCCACAGAU